rnacentral:lncRNA from 1 species
AUAGGAUAAAACAAAAGCUAUAUUUAAGUCUUUUGAGAGAUUACCGGUCUAAUUAAAUGACUCUUAAUCCGUCUUAGCCUAGGAAUGAUGUGGCAGCAUGUCAAAACCCCCGUAACUGCCGGAAUAAAGGGCCAUCACUUCCUUCCACUAUUACUAUAUGUUACUUAAUGCAGACUUUUUCUCCACCCUCUCUCGAAACCGAUGACACGACUUUCUUCCCACUGAUAGAGAAUUACUUUUCUUUCCAUUCAAAAUCAGAGUAAGAGUACAGAUUUUCAACCGGUAGUACCUUCCCUCUCUGUUGCUGCAUCUUCUUAUCCUCCUUUUUUCCUUUUCCCUUCUCCCUUUUUCAUUAGAGUUCCAUCUCUGUCUUUUGAUGUUCAGAUUAUUUUUGCAGAUUUGAUUCAUUAUGUUUUUUGGUCUAAUGUGCCUUGCUCUGUAAAAUUUUGCAACUUUGUUGUUCAAUUUUGUCUCACUGAUUUGCUCAAUCAAAUCACUUAUUUCCUCUUUUCAGGUUUCAGGAAUCGCUCUCUACAUCAAAUCUCGAUUCUCUCGGUCAACAUUCUGAGCGCUAAUCUACCCAUUUGGGUUUUCUGAUUACAACUGCUUCUUGAAUGUGUUUAACUACUUCGGUGAAACACUUCACUUCUUCUCUUUUAUCAUGUUAAUUAAUUCCCUAUUCCCUCUUAUAUUUUGAUUAUUUAUACCUUUGUGACAGAGAUGUGGCCAAGGGCAAAACAAGGGCCUAUAACAGACACUCUUGGAACUUCUAUUGGUUCAUCAUUUAUACUUUACGUAUUAUUUUCAUCUGCUUUUUGUUUUAAUUAUUUUAUGAAUCAUUUAGGGAAAAUGCUUUAUUGUUGUUGGUGACGCCUUUCAACUGUUAGAGAGACUUAUUUUGCCUAUCAUGUAAUGUGGAUUCUACAUUUUAAUUUUCAUGUUAGUAGGUAAAUUUGUCAUUAUUGGCAGCAAGUAUUGCCCUCUCAGGUACCUGUUUAUGUCAUACUGGAUUUUUAUAUAUGGCAAGUGUUAGUACAAGAGAAUUUAUGCAUUUGAAAAUAUAUUAGUUUAAGUACCACGUCGAGGAAACAGGACAACUCAAACUAAUUCAAUGCCAUGUCAUUGCGCGUGCACCUCACUGCUGCUUAUCACUUGCUAACAACUCAAAAUGAUAUGACAAAGGUUGGAUAGCUUAUGAUUUAUCUAUUACACCUCAGAAGGUUGAUAAUGUAUUAGCUAGUAAUUACUGUUAUUCUUCUGCAAUUUCUCAUGUGGAGAAUGUAAACCAUAAGAAGAGGGUCAAGGAACUUGGAGCAUAUGUAAAGAAGUUGUGUCUUUAGCAGAACCUUCAACACAGCACAACCACCAUCAUGCAAAAAUUAAAGUAAGUGUCAUUUUAUCAUUCUUGGACGUAAGGAUCAACGUCAUAAAAAUAUUAAUCGUAAUUUUUCCUACACCGCUCAUCCUAUGUGGCUUCUUUAUCUUUGCCAUAGGAAUAGAAUAAUUUACUGAAUUUUCUGAAAGAUGGUCUUAUUGUUAAGUAGCAGAAACUAAGCAAUUCCUUCAUAGUUAGGGAAGAGCUGGCUUACUUUCGUCAAACUAAUGGAAGAAGCUCUGCGUUAAUUAAUAUUGACAAUCAGUAAAUACGGGAGAACAAGUUGAAGAUUAGUAUUUCUAUUUAACGUGCUUAGGAGGAAUACCAAUGUAACUGUGGAUAGACCUAAUUGUUAUUAGCAUAUUGUUGCUCCAAUUCUUUAAUUUUUAUCAAUUGACAUUGGUUUUCUCAUCAUAUGGAAUAUCUGAUGUAGGGUGCUGGAAUGACAAGACCAAAACCGAUAUUGCAGUCUCAGCAGCUGAAAAAAGCACUUGAGCAGCUCAAAACACAAUGAAUUCAUUGGAAAGAGAACUGCAAGAUAAUUUCUUAAUGUUUCAAUCGUAUUUAAAGAGGGAAAAAAUUAAAAGUUUAAUUCAGUCCUUUAAAAUUCAAAGCAUUCAAAUGGCAAUAAAGUAUGUAGAAUGAGGGGAAUAAUUCUAUAUAAAGAAGAAUAUUUCAUUAAAUUAAAAUGUGAUUUGAUAUCUUGUAGAAUGGUUUUUUUUUCCAACUUUUACUUCUAAAAGCUGUUAGCCACAGAAUUUUAGACAAUGAUAGAUGGAAUCAAGAAGGCAUUAGUCAACUCAUACUCUCUUCUCCUUAUUUCUUUUCUGUUCUACGUAUGUACUUGAUUUGUUGGUAUGAGACCUUGGACUAUUGGCCAUCAGUACACUUACUAAUUUAU